rnacentral:snoRNA from 14 species
GCCAAGGUAAAAGUGUAUUAAGAUGGAAAGGGAAACUAGGACCAUGACGUGGUUUUUGUAAGAAUGCUAGCAGGGUACACACAAGAAGAGUAAUUGCACUGGAUUAGAAAUACUGGGGUGGGCCUCUUUUUAAUGUCCAGUGUCCUUUGUCUUAACAUUUGGUGCAAUGUGU